GAAAUAUGUAUGAAAUUGAAUAUGCAUUCAUCAAUUCUCUGUUUUUCUUUAAAACGUUGCUGAGUUCACCAUACGUCAACGGACGACUCCUGUUAAAAAACAAUUGGCACAGUCCAGAAUGGAUGGGUAGAGUUCAUUCUUUAAAACCAUCGGAUUGGUCCAUGAUGUGCAAACUCCACCCUCCAGUACACCAGUGCACACCAGCUGUAUGACAUCCGGAGUACCUAAUCGCAAUUGGGAAAUUGAACCAAUGGAAAUGAAGUUUAUUGGCUGACAGAUUAGCCAGCCAGGUUAGAAAGGUCUGGAAUUCCGUUAUGAGGUGCAACCAAAACAGCAAACAACGGUUUUGUUGUGUGUUUUGAUCACUAAAAUGGCUGUGACUUUUGGACUCUCUUUGAGUGUUUCUUGGAUUUGUUGCCUGCUAAUUGGAGGGAUAACUUGUUUUACACUUAAAGGUAACGCUCAUGGGCAUCCUGCCUACACUGGACCUGAACCAACUGGAUCGUAUGCCCAAGCAAGUGUGGUGUCUGGUCCAAAUGCUAAAGCUACUGGCCAAAAUGCCACGUCAGCAGAAGCUACUGGCCACAAUGCCACGUCAGCAGAAGCUACUGGCCACAAUGCCACGUCAGCAGAAGCUACUGGCCACAAUGCCACGUCAGCAGAAGCUACUGGCCACAAUGCCAUGUCAAGUGUAAAGUCCGGCCCCGGCGCCUCAGCAGAAGCAACAGGCCCCAGCGCCUCAGCAGAAGCAACAGGCCCCGGCGCCUCAGCAGAAGCAACAGGCCCCGGCGCCUCAGCAGUAGCGUCCGGCCCCGGCACCUCAGCAGUAGCAACAGGCCCCGGCGCCUCAGCAGAAGCGACAGGCCCCCGCGCCUCGUCAGCAGAAGCUACUGGCCACAAUGUCACGUCAGCAGAAGCUACUGGCCACAAUGCCAUGUCAAGUGUAAAGUCCGGCCCCGGCGCCUCAGUAGAAGCAACAGGCCCCGGCGCCUCAGCGGUAGCGUCUGGCCCCGGCGCCUCAGCAGAAGCAACAGGCCCCGGCGCCUCAGCAGAAGCAACAGGCCCCGGCGCCUCAGCAGAAGCGACAGGCCCCCGCGCCUCGUCAGCAGAAGCUACUGGCCACAAUGUCACGUCAGCAGAAGCUACUGGCCACAAUGCCAUGUCAAGUGUAAAGUCCGGCCCCGGCGCCUCAGCAGAAGCAACAGGCCCCGGCGCCUCAGCGGUAGCGUCCGGCCCCAGCGCCUCAGCAGAAGCAACAGGCCCCGGCGCCUCAGCAGAAGCAACAGGCCCCGGCGCCUCAGCAGAAGCAACAGGCCCCGGCGCCUCAGCAGUAGCGUCCGGCCCCGGCACCUCAGCAGUAGCAACAGGCCCCGGCGCCUCAGCAGAAGCGACAGGCCCCCGUGCCUCGUCAGCAGAAGCUACUGGCCACAAUGUCACGUCAGCAGAAGCUACUGGCCACAAUGCCAUGUCAAGUGUAAAGUCCGGCCCCGGCGCCUCAGUAGAAGCAACAGGCCCCGGCGCCUCAGCAGAAGCAACAGGCCCCGGCGCCUCAGCAGAAGCAACAGGCCCCGGCGCCUCAGCGGUAGCGUCCGGCCCCGGCGCCUCAGCAGAAGCGUCCGGCCCCGGCGCCUCAGCAGAAGCGGCAGGCCCCGGCGCCUCAGCAGAAGCGGCAGGCCCCGGCGCCUCAGCAGAAGCGGCAGGCCCCGGCGCCUCAGCAGAAGCGGCAGGCCCCGGCGCCUCAGCAGAAGCGGCAGGCCCCGGCGCCUCAGCAGAAGCGGCAGGCCCCGGCGCCUCAGCAGAAGCGACAAGCCUUGAACAGACGGCCCGACCACUCAACUAGGGAGAUCAUAAUUUGGUUUGGCCAACUCUUUAAUCGUCUUAUCCCUGUUACCUUUACCCUUUUCUGCAAGAGGCACAGUAACUGAGGUGGGGAAAUGUGUGAACUAAUGCGCUUGUUUGAAAUGAGGAUCUCCUUCACUUGUACAUCGUCAUGCAAAUUGUAUACAGAGGUGGAUGAUACAAUGUUAUGAAUCGUUUUUAUAAACAUACGACUAAAUUGACUUCUGUAUGUAGCGAUAUUGCUGACACACUUUUAGGUUCUACGGUUAUGCUUUUGAUUUAGCCUGGUGUUCCUGCUACUCUUGCAUGAUUUGCUCAAUAAACCAUUUGACUUUCAAAAAACCUUGUCCUUAAAAUAUAAUCUCUUCUGCCUACCAUGUGCUUGCUGUUUGGUAACAGACUGUGGGCCUGGAGUAAAAGGGAAUUUGCGUUUUUGUUAUACACUUGUCUAAACCGAUUUGUUUCUGGUAGUUUGUUCUAAAGUUUUCUAACUUGUCAGAGCUCCCUCAUAUGUUCAUACACUACCUGUCCCUUAGUGUAGGCUGUUAAACAGUAAUCUGCCUUUUACCACCAAUGCCUAAAGAAUGUGAAUGCAGUGUAACUCAUCGUCCCAUUACCUGUCACUAACCUGUCCCAGGGACGCUGAAGUUUCUCCUUGACCUUAUUCAGAAACAUUAAAUCAACUUGAUACAUUCUGACUGUUCUACAAUGUUGGUCUGGCCAGACACAUGGAUGCAAUCAUAUGCGUUCAUUUAUUUCAGCUGUGAAAAGUACUCCACUUGAAGUCGUUCAGACAUUCCUUAUGUCAACUCUCAAUGUGGUCUUCUGCACAAUCCAUUUCUACACUACCACAAUGAGGUUGCACUCGCAGAAGCCCCUGACAGGAACUUCAAUAGAUUUUAUAAAGGUGCUCUUAAGCUCUCACUUUGUACAACAUUAUCUAGAGACAUAAAUAUGAAUUUGUUCUUUAGCCUGGCUGGUGACUUGCUUUUUUUGGUAUCAAGGUGUCCAACAAUUUCAAGAAACACUUAGCGUUCUGACAUUUUAGGACUGUCAAGCAACUAACCUCAGGGGAAAAAAACAUCCUCACUGUCAGCUUUGUAAUUUUCAGCAAACUUGAUGGACAAAAAUGUGUAUGAACAUAAGAUUCAACAACAAACUGAACAAGUUCCACAAACAUGUGACUAACAAAUGGAAUAAUGUGUCCAGGAACAAAGGGGGGGGUCAAAAGUAACUAUCUGUUGUGGACACCAGAU
ensembl:lncRNA